UAACCUUUAUUUAACUAGGCAAGUCAGUUAAGAACAAAUUCUUAUUUACAAUGACGGCCUACUUUUAAAGCCUCCCCCGGUCUAAACUCUCCCCUAACCCGGACAGGGCUGGGCCAAUUGUGCGCCGCCCUAUGGGACACCCGAUCACGGCCGGUUGUAAUACAACCGAGAUCAAACGCGGGUCUGUUGUGGUGCCUCUUGCACUGCGAUGCAGUACCUUGGACCUCUGUGCCAUUUGGGAGGCACUGUAUGCUCCGGGGACUACACACUUCCCAGCUUGUUCAUGUUUCUGAUGGCAAUAAGAGCUAUAUAUGUGGAUUUGCAGAUGACCGUCUUUGCUCUGCCAUCCCACAGCUCAACACAGAACAUCUGACAGAUGAUAUGCACCAUCACAGAUCCAAUGGUGAUGCAAUACCUUUUAAUGCAGAAGCCAAUGAAAAGCCACCCGGGUUCCACCUAAAGAGAAACAAUGACCUUGUUCACCGACCUCGCUUCCUAUAAGUGCUGAUGAAGUUCUGUUUCUUCAGAACAGUAACACAUAAAAAAGUUCAAAGAAUCCAAUCA